rnacentral:tRNA from 1 species
GGUAAGGUGGCCGAGCCUAGGCGGCGGGUUGUAACCCCGCAAACAGAGGUAGUAUCCUCUUCUUACCA